GUAUACAGCCAUAGCGCCCUGAGAAUGCCCGAUCUGGGAAGCUAAGCAGGGUCGGGUCCGGUCAGCACUUGGAUGGGAGCCCAGCUGGGAACACUGAGUGCUGUGGCCG
rnacentral:rRNA from 1 species